UACGUAGGGGUGCGAGCGUUUAAUCGGAAUUACUGGGGCGUAAAGUGUGCGCAGGUGGCCGCGCAAAGUCGAGUGGUGAAAUCCCCCGAGCUUAACUUGGGUAAAUUGCGCUCGAAACUACGUGGCUCGAGUGUGGCAGAGGAAGGUGGAAUUCCACGUGUAGCGGUGAAAUGCGUAGAUAUCUGGAGGAACACCGGUGGCGAAGGCGGCAUCCUGGACCGAUAAUUGA
rnacentral:rRNA from 1 species